rnacentral:rRNA from 1 species
UGGGGAAUAUUGGACAAUGGGGGGAACCCUGAUCCAGCCAUGCCGCGUGUGUGAAGAAGGCCUUAUGGUUGUAAAGCACUUUAAGCGAGGAGGAGGGUACUGGUAUUAAUACUACCAGCUACUGGACGUUACUCGCAGAAUAAGCACCGGCUAACUCUGUGCCAGCAGCCGCGGUAAUACAGAGGGUGCGAGCGUUAAUCGGAUUUACUGGGCGUAAAGCGUGCGUAGGCGGCUAAUUGAGUCGGAUGUGAAAUCCCCGAGCUUAACUUGGGGAUUGCAUUCGAUACUGGUUAGCUAGAGUGUGGGAGAGGAUGGUAGAAUUCCAGGUGUAGCGGUGAAAUGCGUAGAGAUCUGGAGGAAUACCGAUGGCGAAGGCAGCCAUCUGGCCUAACACUGACGCUGAGGUACGAAAGCAUGGGGAGCAAACAGG